GUGCAAUGCCAGUGCGCACUGGGCAUCAAAAGCGCAGAUAGAGGCAAAACAAUGUCACAAAAAAGGACAUAUCCUUCAGGUGCAGAAAAAAGGAAGAAGAAGAAAGUGGAAGAGGAGAAAAAAUGCCAUGAUAAAGGAGCAUUGUUAAAAUACUUUGGAGGCACAGAAUCAGCCCAGAGCCAGUCCACAUCCUCAGGCUCAACUGUGAGUGAUUAAUUAGGUCCAUCUCCAUCCUCUACAGUGCUCUCUCACACACCUCCAUCCUCUGUGCCCACUGUCCCCUCCAUGUCUGAAACCACAGCUGAUUUAUCUACAACUUCCACCACAACGUCCCCUUCACACCACGGACCAUCAUCAGCUCCGCCAGUUGACCCAGCUGAGUGGCCUUCUUUCCUCUCAGAUUCAGACAGGACUGAGCAGGUGAUCAGAGGACCACUGUCUAUUAAGGAGAACUUUUCAUUCCCCAAACGGCAUGAUGGCCGAAGUUUUCAUUAUCAUUAUACCUACAGACAGCUAGUCAAUGGGGAAAAAGUCAAGCGUAGCUGGCUGACUUAUUCAAGAAGUAAAGAUGCAGUCUAUUGCUUUUGCUGCAAAUUAUUUUCCAAAAAGUCCUUAAAACUGGCAGCCGAGGGACAGCGGGAUUGGGUCAACAUACAACAAACAACACUGCCAGAGCCGCAAUGAGUUUAUAGUAGGUGUGUGAAUGAUCAACAAUCAAUAUUAUUGGCAGAUAUAGAGGGCCCCAAAAUCAAAUUUUGCUUAGGGCCCCAUGGAGGCUUGGGCCGGCACUGCUUUUAUAGAAAGUACUGGAGAAGUAUAGAUGCAAAUAGGGAUGUCCGAUAAUGGCUUUUUUGUCAAUAUCCGAUAUUCCGAUAUUGUCCAACUCUUAAUUACCGAUACCGAUAUCAACCGAUACCGAUAUAUACAGUCGUGGAAUUAACACAUUGUUAUGCCUAAUUUGGACAACCAGGUAUGGUGAAGAUAAGGUCCUUUUUAAAAAAAUAAAAAAAUAAGAUAAAUUAAAAACAUUUUCUUGAAUAAAAAAGAAAGUAAAACAAUAUAAAAACAGUUAAAUAGAAACGAGUAAUGAAUGAAAAUGAGUAAAAUGAAGUGUUAAAGGUUAGUACUAUUAGUGGAGCAGCAGCACGCACAAUCAUGUGUGCUUACGGACUGUAUUCCUUGCAGACUGUAUUGAUAUAUAUUGAUAUAUAAUGUAGGAACCAGAAUAUUAAUAACAGAAAGAAACAACCCUUUUGUGUGAAUGAGUGUAAAUGGGGGAGGGAGUUUUUUUUGGGUUAGUGCACUAAUUGUAAGUGUAUCUUGUGUUUUUUAUGUUGAUUUAAUAAAAUAAAAAAUAAAAAAACGAUACCGAUAAUAAAAAAAACGAUACUAAUAAUUUCCGAUAUUACAUUUUAAAGCAUUUAUCGACAUCUCUAGUUGCAAAUAUUUCUUAUACAAAUAAAUGUAAGAACACAAAUACUGUAGUUUUAUCAAAUAAAAAAAUACAUGUAAUUAAGAGCAAAAUGUAAAACAAAACCAUAAUUGAAAGUUUAAACAAUAAGUCAUUGCCUCAUCAACUAUGAGCCUCACUUAAAUCCUAAUCACUUAAAUACAAUAAAUAUAUAAAUACAGUAGAUAGAUGUAUUGAAACGUAUGUGUUUUUUCGUCUAUACGUUUGGACGCAUUUUUGAGGCCCUUAACAAAAGUCGACAUAUUUUGCAGGCAAACAUUUUUAGAUUCUGGGGUUCCCGAAAAUUACAUUUCAAAUUUGGAUUUUCAACGCCACCUUUAAAAUGAGAAAAAAAACAGCACCUGCAACCAGUUUCACAUAUCGACACGGAAAAUGCAGGAUACGUCUAUCAUGACGGGGCGCACAUAAAAGUCUAAAGAACCCAUGCCUGAAAACGAACAGGAAGUCUGCAAUCUUGGUUUUCGUGUUCCAUUUUUCAGCAAACAAAAUGGGGUCGUACUUUAGAGAUAUCCUCUUAGGGACUUUGGCCAAACGAGUCGCGGUUAAAAGGAAAGAUACUACACAAGGAGGUGAUGAUACAUUGCGAACAAACAUUUCCAACGCCAUAAGAUGUGGGCGUGGCAUGGCGCCAAACUUUGCUCCGAUGGUUUUUGGCCAUUUUUCGGGGAAAAACAGGGGUCGUACUUUACCAAAGUCCUCCUAGGGACUUUGGUAAACUGAGUCACGGUUAAAAUGACAGAUACUACACAUGGGGGUGAUGAUAAAUUGCAAACCAAAUUUUCCUACGCCCUAAGAUGUGGGCGUGGCAUGGCGCCAAACUUCUCUCUGAUGGUUUUUGGCCAUUUUUCAGGGAAAAAAAGGAUCGUACUUUAACAAAGUCCUCCUAGGGACUUUGGCCAAAUGUGUCGCGGUUAAAAUGACAGAUACUACACAUAUAGGUGAUGAUAAAUUGUGAACAACAUUUUCCUAUGCUCUAAGAUGUGGGCGUGGCAUGGCGCCAAACUUUGCUCCAAUGCUUUUUGGCCAUUUUUCGGGGAAAAAAAGGGGUCAUACUUUAACAAACUUCUCCUAGGAACUUUAGCCAAAUGAGUCGCGGGUAAAAUUACAGAUACUACACAUAUAGGCGAUGAUAAAUUGCGAACAACAUUUUCCUACGCUCUAAGAUGUGGGCGUGGCAUGGUGCCAAACUUUGCUCCAAUGGUUUUUGGCCAUUUUUUGGGGAAAAAAAGGGGUCAUACUUUAACAAACUUCUCCUAGGAACUUUAGCCAAAUGAGUCACGGUUAAAAUGACAGAUACUACACAUAUAGGCGAUGAUAAAUUGCGAACAAAAAAUUCCGACACCAUAAGAUGUGGGCGUGGCAUGGUGCUUAACUUUGCUCCAAUGGUUUUUGGCUAUUUUUCGGGGAAAAAAAGGGGUUAUACUUUAAUAAACUUCUCCUACGAACUUUAGCCAAAUGAGUCGCGGUUAAAAUGACACAUACCACACAUGGGGGUGAUUAUAAAUUGCGAACAACAUUUUCAUACGCUCUAAGAUGUGGGCGUGGCAUGGCGCCAAACUUUGCUCCAAUGGUUUUUGGCCAUUUUUGGGGGAAAAAAAGGGGUCAUACUUUAACACACUUCUCCUAGGAACUUUAGCCAAAUGAGUCACGGUUAAAAUGACAGAUACUACACAUAUAGGCGAUGAUAAAUUGCGAACAAAAAAUUCCUACGCCAUAAGAUGUGGUCGUGGCAUGGCGCCGAACUUUGCUCCGAUGGUUUUUGGCCAUUUUUCGGGGAAAAAAAGGGGUCAUACUUUAACAAACUUCUCCUAGGAACUUUAGCCAAAUGAGUCGCGGUUAAAAUUACAGAUACUACACAUGGGGGUGAUGAUAAAUUGCGAACAACAUUUUCCUACGCUCUAAGAUGUGGGCGUGGCAUGGCGCCAAACUUUGCUCCAAUGGUUUUUGGCCAUUUUUCGGGGAAAAAAAGGGGUCAUACUUUAACACACUUCUCCUAGGAAUUUUAGCCAAAUGAGUCACGGUUAAAUUGACAGAUACUACACAUAUAGGCGAUGAUAAAUUGCGAACAAAAAAUUCCUACGCCAUAAGAUGUGGUCGUGGCAUGGCGCCAAACUUUGCUCCGAUGGUUUUUGGCCAUUUUUCGGGGAAAAAAAGGGGUCAUACUUUAACAAACUUCUCCUAGGAACUUUAGCCAAAUGAGUCACGGUUAAAAUGACAGAUACUACACAUAUAGGCGAUGAUAAAUUGCGAACAAAAUUUUCCUACGCUCUAAGAUGUGGGCGUGGCAUGGCGCCAAACUUUGCUCCAAUGGUUUUUGGCCAUUUUUUGGGGAAAAAAAGGGGUCAUACUUUAACAAACUUCUCCUAGGAACUUUAGCCAAAUGAGUCGCGGGUAAAAUUACAGAUACUACACAUAUAGGCGAUAAUAAAUUGCAAACAACAUUUUCCUACGCUCUAAGAUGUGGCCGUGGCAUGGCGCCAAACUUUGCUCCAAUGGUUUUUGGCCAUUUUUCGGGGAAAAAAAGGGUUCAUACUUUCUUUCUUUCUUUCUUUUAGUUUAUUUCGAACAUGAACACAUUUACAUCAUAAUACAUCACACAAUUUCAUAUCAUUUCAUUUACAUCAUGCCCGAAAAGGAGUAGGAAGAAGCAAAGCUUAUUUAAUCCUACACCUUUCCCACUUCAAAGCAUUUACAAUUAUAUAAAAUCAUUUACUGACCUUUUUAUAUAAUAAAAUAACAUCUAUGAAUUAGUAUAUACAACAGUUUGUAAUAUGUAAUUAAUUAAUUCAGUCAUUAUUAACAUACUGAGAUGAAGAAUAUUUUCAAUAAGGUUGGAAGUUUUUCUCAUAAUUCUUCUUCUUUGUACUUUGUAAGCACUAUUAAUUUAAACAACCUCUUAAACUGGAUCAUGUCAGUACAAUUUUUAACUUCUUUACUUAAUCCAUUCCAUAAUUUAAUUCCACAUACUGUUAUGCUAAAAGUUUUAAGUGUUGU